UACGAAGGGGGCUAGCGUUGGUCGGAUUUACUGGGCGUAAAGCGCACGUAGGCGGUUUGGUAAGUGAGGGGUGAAAUCCCAGGGCUCAACCCUGGAACUGCCUCUCAUACUGGCAGUCUUGAGUUCGAGAGAGGUGAGAGGAAUUCCGAGUGUAGAGGUGAAAUUCGUAGAUAUUCGGAGGAACACCAGUGGCGAAGGCGGCUCACUGGCUCGAAACUGACGCUGAGGUGCGAAAGCGUGGGGAGCAAACAGG
rnacentral:misc_RNA from 1 species